GAUGAACGCUGGCGGCGUGCCUAAUACAUGCAAGUCGAACGCAUAGCGAAAGGUGCUUGCACCUUUCAAGUGAGUGGCGAACGGGUGAGUAACACGUGGACAACCUGCCUCAAGGCUGGGGAUAACAUUUGGAAACAGAUGCUAAUACCGAAUAAAACUUAGUGUCGCAUGACACAAAGUUAAAAGGCGCUUCGGCGUCACCUAGAGAUGGAUCCGCGGUGCAUUAGUUAGUUGGUGGGGUAAAGGCCUACCAAGACAAUGAUGCAUAGCCGAGUUGAGAGACUGAUCGGCCACAUUGGGACUGAGACACGGCCCAAACUCCUACGGGAGGCUGCAGUAGGGAAUCUUCCACAAUGGGCGAAAGCCUGAUGGAGCAACGCCGCGUGUGCGAUGAAGGCUUUCGGGUCGUAAAGCACUGUUGUAUGGGAAGAACAGCUAGAAUAGGAAAUGAUUUUAGUUUGACGGUACCAUACCAGAAAGGGACGGCUAAAUACGUG
rnacentral:rRNA from 1 species